GACGAACGCUGGCGGCGUGCUUAACACAUGCAAGUCGAACGGAAAGGCCCUGCUUGCAGGGUACUCGAGUGGCGAACGGGUGAGUAACACGUGGGUGAUCUGCCCUGCACUUCGGGAUAAGCCUGGGAAACUGGGUCUAUUACCGGAUAGGAGCCAUCUUUAGUGUGGUGGUUGGAAAGUUUUUUUGGUGUAGGAUGAGCUCGCGGGCUAUCAGCUUGUUGGUGGGGUAAUGGCCUACCAAGGCGGCGACGGGUAGCCGGCCUGAGAGGGUGUACGGCCAUCUUGGGACUGGUAAACGGCCCAAGAUCCUACGGGAGGCAGCAGUGGGGAAUAUUGCACAAUGGGCGCAAGCCUGAUGCAGCGACGCCGCGUGGGGGAUGAAGGCCUUCGGGUUGUAAACUCCUUUCGCUAGGGACGAAGCUUUUUUGUGACGGUACCUAGAUAAGAAGCACAGGCUAACUACGU
rnacentral:rRNA from 1 species